AUACGAAGGUGGCGAGCGUUGUUCGGAUUUACUGGGCGUAAAGCGUGCGUAGGUGGUUUCGUGUGUCGGAUGUGAAAGCCCGAGGCUCAACCUCGGAAGGCCAUUCGAAACUGCGGAACUAGAGUGCAGGAGGGGAGAGCGGGAUUCUUGGCGUAGCGGUGAAAUGCGUUGAUAUCAAGAAGAACACCGGUGGCGAAGGCGGCUCUCUGGAAUGCUACUGACACUGAGGCACGAAAGCUGGGGGAGCAAACAGGAUUAGAAACCCCAGUAGUCC
rnacentral:rRNA from 1 species